rnacentral:rRNA from 1 species
GUAGGUGGCAAGCGUUGUCCGGAAUUAUUGGGCGUAAAGCGCGCGCAGGCGGUCCUUUAAGUCUGAUGUGAAAGCCCACGGGCUCAACCGUGGAGGGUCAUUGGAAACUGGGGGACUUGAGUACAGAAGAGGAAAGUGGAAUUCCACGUGUAGCGGUGAAAUGCGUAGAAAUGUGGAGGAACACCAGUGGCGAAGGCGACUUUCUGGUCUGUAACUGACGCUGAGGCGCGAAAGCGUGGGGAGCAAACAGGAUUAGAUACCCUGGUAGUCCACGCCGUAAACGAUGAGUGCUAAGUGUUAGAGGGUUUCCGCCCUUUAGUGCUGCAGCUAACGCAUUAAGCACUCCGCCUGGGGAGUACGGCCGCAAAGGCUG